rfam:Brassica oleracea var. oleracea cultivar TO1000 chromosome C8, whole genome shotgun sequence
AGAAUAUAAGAAUUCGUCUCUUAACUUUUAACUAAAAAAUCUAAGAGCUGGUUCUUAAAUAAGAAAUUUAAGAGCCGGCUCUUAACUUUUUUAGUUGAAAGUUAAGAGACGGGUUCUUAUAUUCC